CUCAUCCAGAGCACUUUAAAGAAACCGAUAAGCUCUAUCUCGUUUAACUUGGCCUUUGGAAGAUGAUUGUGGAAAUUUCUGCAAAGGAGGUGACAUCAGUUGUUGUCACAGCUGCUGUAUUGUUUUGUAGCUCCAUGUCAGAGAGUCAUCCACUGGACUUCUGAUUUCUGUGGGCUGUUGGAAGAGGUCAGUGCAGGUGAUUUUAUUGUUCAAGAACCGAUGCUUCGAGUUACUUCUGGCCAUGUGUUUUGAUUUUGUGGACGUGUAUGCUUAAAGAAAAGAAGAAGAGUACUAAUCGAGCACAUACCUUCUGUAUAGCUUUACGUUCUAAUUACAUUCAAAGUGAUGCCAGAACUGCAAAAGUAACAACUACUCUGAAAGAUGGAGUGAACUGAAAAAGACAGAAAUAGCAGCAGUCGAUAAGAGAAAUCUGGGACUUCUUCACUUCAGGCAUUCAGUAAGAAAGAGGAAACAGCACAGUGAUCUUGAUCAUCUUCACUGGAGUUGAUGGGAAUCUGAUCUCCUGCUACUCUGCAGCACACGUCCUUUCUAAAAUAUGAGUAUGUUGGUGUUGGUUUCUUUCUGUAUGCUGUACAAAGCAGGCAUACCCUUCAAUAGGUACUCUUUGUUUGCAAGGGGUAUUGACAAGGUGAUUUGAGACUCAAUGUUAAUGCAGGUCAUCAAGAGUGAGAGGCGGGAGAUGUUGCCUUUUGUGCAAUUAAACCCUUGGAUGUUGUUUCUGGAUUGAAGGUUUAUAGAAACCACAUGGAAAUAUUGGUUUAUAUUGUUAAGUAAAUUUUGGGUCCCAAACUUUUUUUCAUUAUUGAACAGUAUUUGACUUAAAAGGAGAACUUGGACUAAUGAAUGGUUGAGCCUGGCUUCUGUAGCAUGCCCGCAACAUUGCUUUCCUUGUAUCACGGACCCCUGUGAAGUGCUGCCAACAGUGUUUUGGUAGAGGGUGGAACAUGAAAGGGAAAUCUGCCAAGAGAAGACACACAGGUCCAACUCAUCACCCCAAAAAUGACAAAGGAGAGAACUAUUAACAUACAGAAAUACGAUGCUUGAAAUUAAGCUUUUACAUCUGUAUUGUCUUGUUCCUGCUGAAGUUUUUUUGGAUUAGCCGUGGUUGGGUACAGCUUGGGUGCCCAGCCCUUUGUGAGGCUAAGAGAUGGUGAGAGACAGUAGUAUGAAUACUCUUUGCUUACUGAGGGUCUUGCAAAAUCACACAAGAUGAAACUCCUAGUGUUUUCUUUUCACACAAAGAGGGAUUUUUCUCACAUAGUAAAAAAAAAAAAAAAAAAACUGUAAAGGCUCUUUGAUCCAGUGUUAGAAAUAAGGACAUUUUUAAGUAUUGGAAGAGGAGCCUAACUUAUUGUGUUUCAUAAAUGAUAACUUUAGAUAUUGAAAAGAUAAUGAGAAAUUACAAAAGAGAGAUCUUGUUACAGAAAGGAGGGUAAAAAGGAACAAAACUAGUCAACCAGGAAAGCAUUUGGGGAGAUAUGUUGCUUGCCAAGAGAUACUGGUGCAGCACCCCCCACCCCCUGUUUAGGUGCCACCACAGUUAUAAUGCAGAAAUACAUCACUGCUGCUAACCAUGCUUAGGCUGCAGGUGACAGACACUUCUGCUAAUCUCAAAUAUAGAAGUAUUAAUAGAUUGUAUUACUGCCAAAAACUGCUAGAAAACUUCUAAAGAUAUCUUGACCCCACUGAAAAGUCGAAAUAAUCUGCUUGCUGGAUCAGACACUUUCUCUGUAAGGAAGAAAAGUAGUACUGAAAUACUGUGAGAUGUGACAUCUUCCUGCUCUUAUUAGGUUUUACCAUUGUUCUUCCUCUCAGUUUGGGUCCCCUUGUAAAAUAAAUCUCAGUUUUGAAUCUGAUAUUGGGAGUAGGCUAGGAUCCUUUUCAUGUUUUUUCUCAUUAUGGGCUACACUGUGACCAGAGUUGUUACUUUUCUCCUUUGUCUGCUGAAGAAAUUCGGCUCUAUAUGAAUAUUCUUGUUUGUGCUCUGCUGUUAUCACCUGUAUGGUUUCAGUUCUUCUCAGUCUGCCUUUAUUAAAGACAAAAGUGCAGUUCAAACCUUUUUUGCUUCUACUGUCUCCCUGGUUUCUCCUGCUGUACCUCGACAUCUGAAGUUUUUUUUCUCUGCUUUUCUGUCUUCUGUCUGCAAAGAUCUUUAUGGGUCCAAAAAAUUACACCAUAGUGCAGCAACAGCCAGCAGUAUUGCAGUUGCCCCAGUGCUAAGCUGAUAAUGCAGACAGUCCUGAGGCAUUCUACUUUUGUGCUUUGAACUCCGUCUCAGAGCUGGUUUCCUAAUUUGUCCUGUUAGCACUGAUUUGCUUUGUACUCCGAAUGCAAUUGCUCUGUUGGUAAAAGUUACAGCAACUAGAUCUCCAUUUUUUUCCUAGCAUAGGCAAAGCAGCAGUGACAACUGCCUCUCCCUGUUUUUAUCUUGGCAAACUUCCCAGCAAGAUGUGUACUUAAUUGUAAUUUGCUCUCUGUGGUCAGCAGCAAUAUAUCAGCUUUUAGUAUCUCAGUAGUGUCUCUAUAUUUAACUCUGAAUGUGUCUAAGGCCUCACCUGCUCUUAUACAGAGUAACUGUAUUACAAUAAAGUUGUAUAUAGCAACAGAAAUGAUUGCAUUUAUUGUAUUAUUUUUGUGUAUGUUUAUAUGUAUUAUUGUUAAUUCCUCUUUCAUUUGCUGCUUAAUCUGCUUGCUGUGACUUCGAAACAAAUCAAUCAAACAAAAAACCACCCCAUCAUUAUCUUUUGGAAAAACAAUACCACUUUCUGGGGAAGGCUUCCUCUCCUUCCUUGUUAAGAAUCACAAUGCCUGUGCAUGCAGUGUAUGUACUAGGGCUGUUACUGAAUUUUAGGCAGAGAAGCAAUUAUCUUUGAAAAUGCUUCAAAAGAACCCACAAAAUGAGCGGGCCAUAAAUCCAGGAGCAACAUGAGAGCAGGAAUAUGAAACCUUCAAUGUGCAAUAUGAGCCUUUUAGUCUAAUCUCCCCUAUUUCCACACUGGUGCUAAAUAUGCUGCUGAUGUCCUUGGAGGAAAACAAAUGCACUAGGCUUGGACAAACAGUAUUUCUGCAAGGGCAGUGGGCACUGCUAGGUUAGGGUCAGUUUCAUUUCUGUAAAUUUCCUAGAUGAAACAUUGAAAAGAAAAGGCUAAAUUCUUGCAACUGGAUUUGUGUAUGGUGGUGAAGUUUGGCAAAUAUUAGAUCAUCUUAAUCAAGUUGUCAAUGUUACAUCUAGACUUUCAAUUUUAAAAUAUAUAUAUUUCAUAUAAAUAAAACUGACAGUUUUCAAUCCAGGUACAUACCGUGCUCUCCAGGAACUGCUGUUCUGGAUUAAGAAAAGUAAAAUUUGCAUUUGAAGUGCAUUAAUAACUGCUGUAAGGUAAGAAGAUAAUUUAAAAAUGAUUAACUUGCCUGUAGCAUUUACAUCAGAUAAGUCAGCAGUACUUUGCUAGCCAUGGUUGGAUUGUAUUUUAUAUUGGAGACAGCUAACCAUCCCUGUGUGUCUUUGAAAGAGACUUUUCCUACUAUUGGUCAGAUAGUAGAUUGUGUUUUCUUAUGUCCAACGUCAGGUAAUGUAAGGAAAAGUGAUGUUGUUCAAAAAAGAAGCAGCUUCAGUUUAACUUGAGAUUAAAUUAAAAACUCAAUUGAUUUUGUGUGUGUUUGUGUAAAAAUAGCAUAUCGAUUGUGAAACAAUUAUCCAGCUUUUCCAGAUUUCAUGUCUUUCACCCACCACCAUCUUUCCUGUCCUGUUUUAUAAUCCUGCUAGAUAAUUUCUAAAAUUAAAUUUUUUGAGAAAUGAGUGAUUUGCCACUUUGUACUCUUAGUACUACUGUUGAUGGAAAACAGAAAGCCACUCAGUGUUGUAAAUGUCACCUGUUCAGGAUUUUUCACCUUCCUCUGAAAUAUUCUGCAUUAAUGACUGCAACUGUUGUUUUAAACUUCUAUAUAUAACUCUGCUUUGUUUUACAAUAGCUGACUAAGAAUGGUUUAUCUUAGAAACUUUGAUAUAUUUUUGCAGCAAGCUUUUCAAGAUCUCAUUCAGAAAGCCUUUCUGUCACCAUUUAAUGAAUAGUUCAAGUCUCUAUAGAUUGUGUCUCAGAAUUUUCUAGUUACUUCAUUGUUAAAUGAAGUGUUUAAUGGGUUUUAAAUUAUUACAUGCUGGAUAUAAAUUGCUUAUGAAAUCAGGUAGGUUUUGUUAAUGCAAUUUAUUUCUAUGUGUUUUGUAUGGAAAGUAUCUUUUACUAAAUAGUUGAGCAUCUUCACAGAUGCGUAACUGUGUAAUAUUUUUUUUUAAUGAGACUUAACUUGCUCCCCAAAUGUGAAUGGAUUUCUAACAUCUGAAAGUGAUGCAAAUCACAGUGGUAAGGACUGGCAUAUGCCACAUGUCCAAUGUGGUGGUUCAUGGCUUGUGUGCAGGAGGACCCACAUUAGGUUGUGUCUCACUGUGCUCUUUUCUCUCCAGGGACACAGUCUCAAGUGGCAGCAGGAGGACGAUGGUGUCAGUUUGCAAUGAAAGCAUCCCUCUCCCUGGACUCAGGGGGAGAGUCAUCCCUCUUCAGGGAUCAUCCGCAGAGAUUGUUGCCUAAGAGAGUUACAGAGCUGUGAACUAGCAGUUGGGAUCCCAACUUCAGACCAAGGAAGCAAUACUACCCUGGAGAUACAUGACAGCAGCAAUGCUGUGGUGCAGAUUAGAAGGAGGUGAUCAGAAGUGUAUAUAUCUACCAACAAGAGUUUAGAAGUUUCUGAUGCUGAUAGUAUUCUCACAAGGCUUCCAUUGAGGAGGGGGAGAGAAAACCUUGCUGAAAGAAGCUUUGAAUGAACUUCGGAAGAAAAUGUUCAAAUACGUUUGAUAUUCUCAAAAUACUCUCAUUUUUACCUGUGGCUUUGGGAAUCUAAAGUCAGUAGGCAACUGCAUAUUCCUCAUAGGUGCAAUUCCCUAGCGCUGAAUAAAGGGUGAGGACUGAGGAAGAGUGCAUACCAUGGUUCUGCUCUGACAGCAUAGUCUCAGUGAAAUGAAGAAGAUAAGCAAGUCUUCUACUGUUGUACACUAUGGAAAGGCGUUCUCACGAAUUUUCAGCAAUGACUCCAUAUGGGAAUGAUUUCAUUGUAAGAAGAAGGCUUCCAUUCUAUCAUGAAAAAAAGCUGCAUGGAAAUCACAGAAUACAGAAGAAAGUGUCGGUCAUUUUUUGAAAGCAUUGUGGCAUAUGGAGAUGGAAACCAUGCAGAUUUGCCUCCAAAUUUAUUAAGCUUCUAGAAAAAUCAGAUGAUGAGGAACAAAUGCAAAAAGCUCACAAAAGUAGUGGUAGUUUAAACAAAAUAUUCAUAAAGCCCUAUUGCUUUUAUGAUGAACAGACCUGGCAAAAAGGAUAUUAAUUAAACUCAAACAGCAUUGUUUAAGCAGGUAGAGUUAUUCCCAGUAUAUUUGGUUGCCACCUAGAUUAGUGUUAUACUCUUCAGUUGCUAACAAUGAAGUUAUCAGUCACUAGAACAAAUUAUUAUGAGGAAUAGUGAACUUACCAUUUCUUUAAGUCUUCAGGCUGAGAGUGGAUGGUAUGCUCUAGCAAACAAUGGAGACACAGCUGGGUGAAAUUAUAUGGUUGUAUUAAAGACAAGGGAACAUGAGAGAUUCUAUGUGGUUCUUUCUAGCCUUAAGAGCUAUAGGUCUAUAAUUUCACAAAUACCAUUACAAAGAACUCCUUAGAAGUAGUGAGGACCAUAGCAGCAACACGAGUCUGUCUCCUAAUUCAGGGUAGAUUAUUCCAAAGUAUUUUAAAAAAUUACAGAUUGUAGUACUGUUUCUACAUAUUCCUGUCACUACAGGUCAUAUUACUAGCAUAAUUUUAUGAUAUUGGAAAUCCCUUUUUGAGGACUAAAGAGACUCUUCCUGUCUUCUAAAGAGCUCAGUGUACUUUAGUUCAUGAAAGAGUCUAUAAGUAAGUAAGCAUGCAUGCUGCUGCUUUCCUACCUGAUCUAUUUCAGUCAUUAAAAUCUGAAAUAAGUAAACUAGAUGACUCAGUGAAAUAAAAAUCCAUCUGUGAAGGAAAUUCUAAGAUACUUCUCAUUGUUAUAAACCAUCUCUAAGCUAAACUUUAUUUUUUUCCUCCUUGUUUGGUGACACUUUGUUUAAAAGAGGAACUUAAAAGAUUUUUUUCCUUCAUAGCUGUCUUCCAGUUGAGAACAGGUAUACCAUUUUUUUACCAGAUUUCCGGUGCUUGGGGGCAUCGGAUGCUGCAGAAACUUAAAUCUAGCAGGACAGUUGGAAGUUUAGGAAGAUGGAAGCUUGUACCUGACUGAACAGCUGGACAUGAAAAUAUAUAGUUUGUCAAUGUUAAGAUAUAUUCUUCUUACUAUAAAAAAAAGAGAAGGGAUUAAGUGAACAUGUGCUUGGAAGAAAGACCUUGCCAUUUCAUCAUGCCUUUUGGACAUUACCUUUAUAACUCCACUGAACUUUUUCUCAGAUAAAAAAAAUCUGUAGCCCACACUACAAAGGGCUUUGAGUAUGUGUAUAUAAUAUAUUGUUAUCAGCAAUCACCACAAUGGUCACAAAAGGUAUUUCUUCAGUAUGGCUAAACCAUCUCAUUAAUUGUAAGACAAAAUUACUCCUGUGCCAGUAUGUCAUCCACCCACAGACAUGGGUUUGGCAGCACAGUUAGGACAGCAUAGUUGGAAUGUCCUAACUAACACUAGAAGAUCUGAAAAAACAUCAUAGGAUAGGUUUUCAGCUCUUUCAGGGAGAGCUGAUGAUUUUGUGUCCUGAAUGAAUAUGCAUAAUUCCAGAGGCAGAUUUUUUAGUUUUUCAGAUUGUAGUCAAUGGCUAGUUACUCUUUUUUCUGUGAGUGUCUAAGACUGUCUUUGUUUCUCACUCCUAUAUACGUAUGUUGUGCUAAAACAAAUAUCUCAACUGUCCCUUACGGGAGGGCUGUCUGCAAGACACACUUUAGCUGAACACAGUGUGUUACUAGGGUACAAUGAAGGGAGCAGAAUAUAAGAAAACUCAGAGGAAAUUUGAUAGUUGUCAUAUAGAGCCAUUCAUAUUGCUUUAUCAGGCAGUCUUUUCUGGUCUUAAAUUCCAUAAAUUUAUAACUUUUUCUGAUUCAAAUAAGUUCAACUUUCUCUUGCUACUGUGUUUUGUGUUCUUGAGAAAAGAUGAUUGGAAAAGCUGGAUGAUAAAGGAGUGAUCUCUGACUGCUCUUAAGCUUUUCAAAUAUAUUAUCCUUUAAAAAAAACCAAAUCAACCCAAUUUGUCAUAAAAAUUUCAGCAUGAAAGUGACUAAUCUAUUUGCCAUGCAAAGGCCAUAGUAAAAUGCAGAUAUGUGUGUUUAAUACUUUAUUUUCAUGAAUCUACAAGAGCAAUUUUGAGUUAAAGGAACUCUUCAGUUUUACUCCACUAAAGACUAUCUCUGUAGCUUUAUUCUAAGAUGUAUAAUAAUAAAAAAAACCAAAACGGGUGAGAGGAGUAAGAAGUCACUAAAGAUGGGAAAGGUUGGAGGUCUAGACCAAAUUUGCAUUCAUCAAGGUUGUUUUCAAAAGUAAGUUUUAGGCACACUGCAAGGAAACUGGAGAGGGCUUGAACUGCUAAUGCCCCCUUUGUUGCAUGGAUAUACAGAGAACACUUUUCUUGUCCUGCAAGGAUUCUGUUGAUUUUGAAAUUUUAGGCCCAGCAUGGGGCUCAGUGACUAUGAGUAACUUAAGAAACAAAUAUUUCAUUUUAAUACCAAACUUUUUUUUUCCUUUUCUAACCUUUUUAUAUAAACUAAAUUGUUUCAACAAGAGAAGAUGCUUUUAACUGCAAAAAAAGGCUUUUUGUUUUAAAAAUGUUGAAAUGGCACAUUUCUAGAAUUUCAGAACCUGUUUUCCAAUAUUUUUGAGGACAGGAAGCUCUUCUGGGAAUAAUUUCAGUUUUGAUGAAUUGUCUGUUGUGACCAUCUUUCCUCAUCUCUAUGAAAAAAACCUGUUCUCACUCCUAACACUAAACCGAGGCUUCCAAUACCUACAAGAAGCCUAAGGUAAGAUUGCAUUGGUUACCUUACUGAUGCAUUAGAGUGAGACACAGAUAUUGGAUUUGGGCAACUAUCUUUAUCCACUGGUGCAAUAAGACAAGAGUGAGAGUGUUGUGGUGAUCUUUACUGGGAUUCUUUUUCCUCUACAAGUACUUGAGAUUGAUAACACUUCUGUGUUUCUACAUUUCACAUAUGUACUGUAUCAUAUCAAUUAUGUUCACAAAUACUUGUUCACAAUUUGUAAACAAGUAGAUAGAUUGACACAUACGCUAGUAAGAAACUAGGACACAAAUUGUUCUGCAGCCAGAGGACUCACUUGCUCUGCAGGCUGAAGAUGGAGAAGGCCCCAGUGAUGGAAUGGAAGCACCAAAGGCUGGAUAAAAUCUACACAAAUACUGCCAAACUAUUACAGUGAAAAUCCUUAUGUUUCUCUCCUGUGUGAGAAGGGAAAUCCAGGCUGAGAUGUUCAGAGGGGUUGGUUCAUUGGUAUUGAAUAAGGAAGUUACCAAAGAAACAAGAAGAAUCUGAAACCAGAAAGCCCUUGCACUCAGCAGGGUCUUCCCUCCCCUCCUCCAACUGAGCACCACUGUUUAGUGUCUACCAGUUAGUAAAUGUAUGUUACCUUAUAUAUGAACAAAGAACUGACAUUUUAAACAGCUUUAAUGGCUUGUAAUCAUGCUGUUUGAUAAGACUUUAAAUGUGUUUUAUUAAUAAAAUCUCAUGAUUUACUUGGCUAUACUUCCAUAGGCAUCAUUAAUGAGCACAGCUUUAGACAGUCGGGACCCUGGGUACACCAACAAGCCCCAAUGUCCCUGCCCAGUUCCUGGGGUUGCUGGGCUGGUCUCUGGCUUCC